AGCUUUGUUCUGUGCUGUCUUUUCCUUCACACCCUGGAUCUGGAGCCCCCGGCAUUGUUCUGUCGGUGGUGGAGAAACAAGAUUACCAGGUGAAAGGACUGGCUGAGAAUCUCCGCGAAGCGCAUCACCUCUGUGAUCACUUUCUCUCCUCUCUCCCUGCUCUGGACUUCACAAGCAUCCAUGCUCAAAGUGGUAAUCUGCAGGCCUCUCUAGGGAUGGCUGCUGGCGAAAAAGAGGGUCCAAGACCAGGAAUGGUGCAGAGAAUCUCCUUGAUUCCUCCAACUUUGGGCCAAUAUUGUGGGAAAUGCACAGGUUCCCUGGACGCUCCCCUCGGAUGGCAGGCCCUUCUGUGAGUUUUACCCACUGUGGGGGCCUGGGUGGGUAGCAGGACGGCAAGCAGCCCAGUAGCAGAGCGGAGAGGGAAUCCCCAGUGUGAGGCUCACCCUGAAGCCGAGUGAUGGUUCUGAGCUCCUGUAUCUGUGCCUCCACAGCUGCUUCACUGUGUAUCUUCAUGGUGGCCCAAAGGCC
rnacentral:lncRNA from 1 species